rnacentral:rRNA from 1 species
CAUAGGUUAAUGAGGCGAACCGGGGGAACUGAAACAUCUAAGUACCCCGAGGAAAAGAAAUCAACCGAGAUUCCCCCAGUAGCGGCGAGCGAACGGGGAGCAGCCCAGAGCCUGAAUCAGUGUGUGUGUUAGUGGAAGCGUCUGGAAAGGCGCGCGAUACAGGGUGACAGCCCCGUACACAAAAAUGCACAUACUGUGAGCUCGAUGAGUAGGGCGGGACACGUGGUAUCCUGUCUGAAUAUGGGGGGACCAUCCUCCAAGGCUAAAUACUCCUGACUGACCGAUAGUGAACCAGUACCGUGAGGGAAAGGCGAAAAGAACCCCGGCGAGGGGAGUGAAAAAGAACCUGAAACCGUGUACGUACAAGCAGUGGGAGCACGCUUAGGCGUGUGACUGCGUACCUUUUGUAUAAUGGGUCAGCGACUUAUAUUCUGUAGCAAGGUUAACCGAAUAGGGGAGCCGAAGGGAAACCGAGUCUUAACUGGGCGUUAAGUUGCAGGGUAUAGACCCGAAACCCGGUGAUCUAGCCAUGGGCAGGUUGAAGGUUGGGUAACACUAACUGGAGGACCGAACCGACUAAUGUUGAAAAAUUAGCGGAUGACUUGUGGCUGGGGGUGAAAGGCCAAUCAAACCGGGAGAUAGCUGGUUCUCCCCGAAAGCUAUUUAGGUAGCGCCUCGUGAAUUCAUCUCCGGGGGUAGAGCACUGUUUCGGCAAGGGGGUCAUCCCGACUUACCAACCCGAUGCAAACUGCGAAUACCGGAGAAUGUUAUCACGGGAGACACACGGCGGGUGCUAACGUCCGUCGUGAAGAGGGAAACAACCCAGACCGCCAGCUAAGGUCCCAAAGUCAUGGUUAAGUGGGAAACGAUGUGGGAAGGCCCAGACAGCCAGGAUGUUGGCUUAGAAGCAGCCAUCAUUUAAAGAAAGCGUAAUAGCUCACUGGUCGAGUCGGCCUGCGCGGAAGAUGUAACGGGGCUAAACCAUGCACCGAAGCUGCGGCAGCGACGCUGAUGCGUUGUUGGGUAGGGGAGCGUUCUGUAAGCCUGUGAAGGUGUGCUGUGAGGCAUGCUGGAGGUAUCAGAAGUGCGAAUGCUGACAUAAGUAACGAUAAA